AGAGUUUGAUCCUGGCUCAGGAUGAACGCUGGCGGCGUGCCUAAUACAUGCAAGUCGAACGGAGACAUUAGCAAUAGUGUCUUAAUGGCGAACGGGUGAGUAACGCGUUGGUGACCUGCCCCAAAGUGUGGGAUAACAGUCCGAAAGGAUUGCUAAUACCGCAUGUGGUCUUCGGCAUUAGAAACCGAUUUCUAAAGGAGUAAUCCGCUUUGGGAAGGGGCCUGCGUCCCAUCAGCUAGUUGGUAGGGUAAUGGCCUACCAAGGCGUCGACGGGUAAGGGGCCUGAGAGGGUGGCCCCUCACAAUGGAACUGAAACACGGUCCAUACUUCUACGGGAGGCAGCA
rnacentral:rRNA from 1 species